ACGGGUGAGUAAUAUAUCGGAACGUGCCCAAGAGUGGGGGAUAACUAGUCGAAAGAUUAGCUAUUACCGCAUACGAUCUACGGAUGAAAGUGGGGGAUCGCAAGACCUCACGCUCCUGGAGCGGCCGAUAUCUGAUUAGCUAGUUGGUGGGGUAAAAGCCUACCAAGGCGACGAUCAGUAGCUGGUCUGAGAGGACGACCAGCCACACUGGGACUGGGACACGGCCCAGACUCCUACGGGAGGCAGCAGUGGGGAAUUUUGGACAAUGGGCGCAAGCCUGAUCCAGCAAUGCCGCGUGUGUGAAGAAGGCCUUCGGGUUGUAAAGCACUUUUGUCAGGGAAGAAACGGUUCUGGUUAAUACCUGGAGCUAAUGACGGUACCUGAAGAAUAAGCACCGGCUAACUACGUGCCAGCAGCCGCGGUAAUACGUAGGGUGCAAGCGUUAAUCGGAAUUACUGGGCGUAAAGCGUGCGCAGGCGGUUAUGUAAGUCAGAUGUGAAAUCCCCGGGCUCAACCUGGGAAUUGCAUUUGAGACUGCAUGGCUAGAGUGUGUCAGAGGGGGGUAGAAUUCCACGUGUAGCAGU
rnacentral:rRNA from 1 species